GGCGGCGGCGGCGGCGGCGGCGGGACGGGCCCGGCGAUCGCUCCGCGCUCCGUCCGCGCCCCCCUCGGGGCCUCUUCCCCCCCCUCCCCUCCUUCACUCCCCUCACAAACAACCGAGCGCCUCGUCCUCCCCCCCUCGAAGCUCCCCGCGGGCUCCGCCUCUUCCUUCCCUCCCUCCCUCUCCCCGUCCCCGCCCCGCGCGGCCUCCCCUGAAGGCCCGGCCCGGCCUCGCGCUCCGGCCUCCGCGCCGCCGCUUCAGCGCGCCCGCGGCUUCCGCUUCCCCCCCUCCCUCCUCCCUCACCCCCUCCCUCCCCUUUUUCCCCCCCCCUUCCCUUCCCCUCACGCCGGACCCGCCAUGGACGUGAAGCGGCUGAAGGUGACCGAGCUGCGGGCCGAGCUGGGCCGGCGCGGGCUGGACGCCCGCGGGCUGAAGGUGGAGCUGGCGCAGCGGCUGCAGGAGGCCCUGGACGCCGAGAUGUUGGCGGCGGGGCCUGAGGAAGGCGGCGGCGGAGGAGGAGGAGGAGGAGGGGGAGGCCCGGCCGCCGCGCCCGGGGCCUGCGGAGGAGGAGCAGGAGCAGGAGAAGCGGGGCCGGCGGGAGGCCCGGCCGGGCGGCACCACCACGGAGGGGAGGAGGAGGAGGAGGAGGAGGAAGAGGAGGAGGAGGAGGAAGAAGAGGAGGAGGAGGAUGAGGAAGCGUUGCUGGCCGACGAGGACGAGGCGGCCGCCGCGGCCCCCGAGGCGGCCCCGGCCCAGUCCGGCCCCCCCGGGGAGGAGGAGGAGGAGGAGGAGGAGGAAGAGGAGGCGGCCCCGGCCGAGCCCGCGGGCCCGGAGCCGCCGCAGCUGCAGCCGCCGCAGGAGGAACCGGCGGCCGAGGCCGAGCCCGGAGCGACCGAGGGAGGAGGAGGAGAAGGAGGCGGCGGCGUGAACGGGGCCGAGCGGCCGCCGGAAGAGGCGCCCAGCGGGGACGAGGCGGCCGCGGCCGAGGCCAAGGAGGAGGGAGCGCAGGCGGGUGAGCGGCGGGGAGACCCCCGGGAGGGACAUCCCCAACCUGGGAGGGACCUUAUGAUCCCCCGGAGGGACCCCCCAGGAUCGGGAAUGGACCCCCGGGAGGGACCCCCACGACCUGGGUUGCACUUCCUGACCCCCGGGAGGGACGUCCCCAACCUGGGAGGGACCCCCCAGGAUGGAGAAUGGAGCCUGGGAGGGAUCCCCCUAACCAGGGAUGGACCUUACGACCCCCAUAGAGGAGCCCCCGGCCCUCGAGAGGGACUCCCCGAGCCGGGAAUGGACCCCCGGGAGGGACCCCCCCAACCUGGGUUGCACUUCCUGACCCCCGGGAGGGACGUCCCCAACCUGGGAGGGACCCCCCAGGAUGGAGAAUGGAGCCUGGGAGGGAUCCCCCUAACCAGGGAUGGACCUUACGACCCCCAUAGAGGAGCCCCCGGCCCUCGAGAGGGACUCCCCGAGCCGGGAAUGG
rnacentral:lncRNA from 1 species